GCCGGGCGCGGUGGCUCACGCCUGUAAUCCCAGCACCUUGGGAGGCCGAGACGGGCGGAUCACCUGAGGUCAGGAGUUCAAGACCAGCCUGGCCAACAUGGUGAAACCCCGUCUCGA
rfam:Gorilla gorilla gorilla genomic chromosome, chr17, whole genome shotgun sequence